GAUCCUGAUACCUUCAGCAAUGAAUAUGUGAAGUUAAAAAGGAUAUUUUUAUGACUCCAUAUGUACACUCGUAAGGAUCAAUUUAUGAUUGAUAGUUUUUUUGUUAAAUGUGAAUUUCUUCUAAUAACUCAUUAUAUUUUAUAGGGACACUAGCAAUUGAUUGUUCUUUCAUUAAAGAGUAACACAGUCUUUUUCUUAUGCUCCCUCAAUUACAAACCAAAUGAGGACAUAAAAAAGACAAUAGACUCGUAAGUGUACUUGUACAAAAACUAUUAAUUUUUAUGGAUAUAUUAGUUAUAAUAUCGUGAUGUUGAUCAUAGGACAAUGAAAAUAUAUGAAAUAAUGGUCCUGAAAAAGCAUCCUCAUGAACUAAAGGAUCCUACGUGGAUUGAGCCAAAGAGUCAUAAGUAACCACCGAAGACUAGUUUGUGCGACAUAUAUGUGAUGAGACACAUGGUCAACAUCAUCACAUUGAGAAUGACUGAAUUUACAAAUGAGAUCCAUUUUCUAAGGAAGAGGUUGAUGGCAUCUUCAUAUGUUGGGCACCAUAUUUUAUGGGUGGUAUGUGAGGUUUAGGUAUUUUUUAGAAAUUGUAUAAGACAAUUUGAGUUUUGUGUAAUUUCUAUAAAAUUAUAUUAAAUUUAAAUUAUUUAUAUGUAC